UCCUAUGGAUGAGCAAAGAGAAUGGUUUCUUGAGAUGGAAUCUACUCCUGAUGAAGAUGCUGUGAA
rnacentral:pre_miRNA from 1 species